GACAGCGUGCCAGAGUGGUUAAUGGGUGAGACUCGAAAUCUCAUGGGCUCUGCCCGCGCAGGUUCGAAUCCUGCCGCUGUCG